rnacentral:rRNA from 1 species
CUUAACUGCAUUUUUUCUUACACAUGUGUUUUUCUUUUUUUGAAAACUUUGCUUUGGUAGGCCUUCUAUAUGGGGCCUGCCAGAGAUUAAACUCAACCAAAUUUUAUUUAAUGUCAACCGAUUAUUUAAUAGUCAAAACUUUCAACAACGGAUCUCUUGGUUCUCGCAUCGAUGAAGAACGCAGCGAAAUGCGAUAAGUAAUAUGAAUUGCAGAUAUUCGUGAAUCAUCGAAUCUUUGAACGCACAUUGCGCCCUUUGGUAUUCCAAAGGGCAUGCCUGUUUGAGCGUCAUUUCUCCCUCAAACCCUCGGGUUUGGUGUUGAGCGAUACGCUGGGUUUGCUUGAAAGAAAGGCGGAGUAUAAACUAAUGGAUAGGUUUUUUCCACUCAUUGGUACAAACUCCAAAACUUCUUCCAAAUUCGACCUCAAAUCAGGUAGGACUACCCGCUGAACUUAAGCAUAUCAAUAAGCGGAGGAAAAGAAACCAACAGGGAUUGCCUUAGUAGCGGCGAGUGAAGCGGCAAAAGCUCAAAUUUGAAAUCUGGCACUUUCAGUGUCCGAGUUGUAAUUUGAAGAAGGUAUCUUUGGGUCUGGCUCUUGUCUAUGUUUCUUGGAACAGAACGUCACAGAGGGUGAGAAUCCCGUGCGAUGAGAUGUCCCAGACCUAUGUAAAGUUCCUUCGAAGAGUCGAGUUGUUUGGGAAUGCAGCUCUAAGUGGGUGGUAAAUUCCAUCUAAAGCU